rnacentral:tRNA from 1 species
GGAGAGAUGGUAGAGUGGUCGAUUACAACGGUCUUGAAAACCGUCGUACCGAGAGGUACCGGGGGUUCGAAUCCCCCUCUCUCCGCUA